CCUCCCAGAUUUGGUUUCUGGUCCAGUUUUGCUCACUAUAAACAUGCAAAGUUUCUGGAGCCCAGAGGAGCACCUGUCUGCACCUGAAGGGACAUGUCCACGCGGCCAUGCUCACCAGCACUGACGUUUGAGGAACCAACGCCCAGGAAGCUGCUGCAACCAGGACUAUGUAUGAAGCAAGCACGACACUGCUGCAUGGAGGUCAGAGGUCACCUCAGCUCCUGGAUCACCUGGAUCUUCAUGUUUCUCCUCACCUGCUCUCAGGUAACCAGAUUUCUGCAGAGCUCUCCAAGACCACGUGACCACAACAAUGACCUGACCUGACCCCUGCUGACCGGGAUGCGACCUCCCGAUCCCGGGCCGGUCGGUACCAGCCUGACCGGGCUCUGAGCGGACCUUACCCGGAGCUUUUGAGGCGCCGCUCCGGAAGCUCGUCGGUGAUGACCUGCGGCCGCGGCAGCCUCCGGAGGCGCAGCCCCCCCGACUCGUUCAUGCUUCCAGCACAGACACCGGGCCCGGUUCUGGUGUGUCCGCUGGCUGGCGCGUGCGCGUAUAGGUUCAGAUCCUGUCAGACGAAGGACCUCCAGCCCCCAUCUUCUCCUCCUCUUCCUCUCCUCUGUGGUGGUCGCGGUGGCUUGUCGCCCCCUGGAGGCGCGGAGCAGAACUGCGGCUGCGCAGUGCAGCACUGCUCAGAAACAGAGCGAGCGUUCAGGGGCGGAGCUACCGGGGAACACGGGGGGCAGAUCCCCACACUGAAUAAAUAAAAAAAA